UAGGGAAUCUUCGGCAAUGGACGGAANNNUGGACCGAGCAACGCCGCGUGAGUGAAGAAGGUUUUCGGAUCGUAAAGCUCUGUUGUAAGAGAAGAACGAGUGUGAGAGUGGAAAGUUCACACUGUGACGGUAUCUUACCAGAAAGGGACGGCUAACUACGUGCCAGCAGCCGCGGUAAUACGUAGGUCCCGAGCGUUGUCCGGAUUUAUUGGGCGUAAAGCGAGCGCAGGCGGUUAGAUAAGUCUGAAGUUAAAGGCUGUGGCUUAACCAUAGUACGCUUUGGAAACUGUUUAACUUGAGUGCAAGAGGGGAGAGUGGAAUUCCAUGUGUAGCGGUGAAAUGCGUAGAUAUAUGGAGGAACACCGGUGGCGAAAGCGGCUCUCUGGCUUGUAACUGACGCUGAGGCUCGAAAGCGUGGGGAGCAAACAGGAUUAGAUACCCUGGUAGUCCACGCCGUAAACGAUGAGUGCUAGGUGUUAGACCCUUUCCGGGGUUUAGUGCCGUAGCUAACGCAUUAAGCACUCCGCCUGGGGAGUACGACCGCAAGUUG
rnacentral:rRNA from 1 species